AGCCUGUUAGCUCAACUGGUAGAGUAUUGUGUGUGCAAAUACACAAAAAUGUGGGUUCGAUUCCCACACAGUCUC
rfam:Beta vulgaris subsp. vulgaris chromosome 5, whole genome shotgun sequence.